rnacentral:rRNA from 1 species
UACGUAGGUGGCAAGCGUUGUCCGGAUUUAUUGGGUUUAAAGGGUGCGUAGGCGGCUUUGUAAGUCAGUGGUGAAAUAUGGCAGCUCAACUGUCAAGGUGCCAUUGAUACUGCGGAGCUUGAGUACAGAUGAGGUAGGCGGAAUUGACGGUGUAGCGGUGAAAUGCUUAGAUAUCAGGGAGAACACCUAUGGCGAAAGCAGCUCUCUGGGACGGUACUGACGCUGAGACGCGAAAGCGUGGGGAGCGAACAGG